AGAGUUUGAUCCUGGCUCAGGAUAAACGCUGGCGGCGUGCCUAACACAUGCAAGUCGCACGUCCUGUGGUCUUUCGGGACCCCAGGGAGUGGCGGACGGGUGAGGAACACGUGGGUGACCUACCUUUUAGUGAGGAAUACCGGCGAGAAAUCGCCGACAAGACCGCAUACGCUUCUCUCUUCAACGAGGGAAGCAAAGCCUUGUCGCAAGAUGAGGCGCUAGAAGAUGGGCCCGCGGCCGAUUAGCUAGCUGGUGGGGUAAUGGCCUACCAGGGCGACGAUCGGUAGCUGGUCUGAGAGGACGAUCAGCCACACUGGGAUUGAGAACGGCCCAGACUCCUACGGGAGGCAGCAGUGGGGAAUAUUGCACAAUGGGCGCAAGCCUGAUGCAGCGACGCCGCGUGGGGGAUGACGGCCUUCGGGUUGUAAACCUCUUUCACCAUCGACGAAGGUCCGGGUUUACUCGGAUUGACGGUAGGUGGAGAAGAAGCACCGGCCAACUACGUGCCAGCAGCCGCGGUAAUACGUAGGGUGCGAGCGUUGUCCGGAAUUACUGGGCGUAAAGAGCUCGUAGGUGGUUUGUCGCGUUGUUCGUGAAAACUCACGGCUUAACUGUGAGCGUGCGGGCGAUACGGGCAGACUGGAGUACUGCAGGGGAGACUGGAAUUCCUGGUGUAGCGGUGGAAUGCGCAGAUAUCAGGAGGAACACCGGUGGCGAAGGCGGGUCUCUGGGCAGUAACUGACGCUGAGGAGCGAAAGCGUGGGGAGCGAACAGGAUUAGAUACCCUGGUAGUCCACGCCGUAAACGGUGGGUACUAGGUGUGGGUUUCCUUCCUUGGGAUCCGUGCCGUAGCUAACGCAUUAAGUACCCCGCCUGGGGAGUACGGCCGCAAGGCUAAAACUCAAAGGAAUUGACGG
rnacentral:rRNA from 1 species